rnacentral:rRNA from 1 species
GACAGAGGGUGCAAACGUUGUUCGGAUUUACUGGGCGUAAAGCGCGUGUAGGCGGCAGGGCAAGUCGGAUGUGAAAGCCCACGGCUCAACCGUGGAAGUGCACCCGAAACUGCCUCGCUAGAGUCUCGGAGAGGAAGGUGGAAUGCUUGGUGUAGAGGUGAAAUUCGUAGAUAUCAAGCGGAACACCGGUGGCGAAGGCGGCCUUCUGGACGAUGACUGACGCUGAGACGCGAAAGCGUGGGGAGCAAACAGG